rnacentral:rRNA from 1 species
UACAGAGGUCCCAAGCGUUGUUCGGAUUUACUGGGCGUAAAGGGCGCGUAGGCGGUCAGCACAAGUCACUUGUGAAAUCUCCGGGCUUAACUCGGAAAGGUCAACUGAUACUGUGCGACUAGAGUCCGGAAGAGGAGAGUGGAAUUCCCGGUGUAGCGGUGAAAUGCGCAGAUAUCGGGAAGAACACCCGUGGCGAAGGCGGCUCUCUGGGACGGUACUGACGCUGAGACGCGAAAGCGUGGGGAGCGAACAGG